rnacentral:RNase_P_RNA from 1 species
AGAGUUGGCCGGACAGUCGCUGUGCCGCAAGGCAUGGAGGAAAGUCCGGGCUCCAUAGGGCAGAGUGCCAGGUAACGCCUGGGAGGCGCGAGCCUACGGAAAGUGCAGCAGAGAGCAGACCGCCGAUGGCCCUGCAAGGGGAUCAGGUAAGGGUGAAAGGGUGCGGUAAGAGCGCACCGCGCGACUGGUAACAGUUCGUGGCACGGUAAACCCCACUCGGAGCAAGACCAAAUAGGAACCCGAUGGUGUGGCCCGCACUGGGUUCGGGUAGGUUGCUACAGGCAGUCAGUGAUGGCUGUCGCAGAGGAAUGGCUGUCCUCGACAGAACCCGGCUUAUAGGCCAACUCUUUAU